rnacentral:lncRNA from 1 species
AAAAAUCUCAUUUCAGCAUUUCAGAAGCCAGAUCAAGGCAUUGUAAUACCUCUGCAGUAUCCAGUUGAGAAGAAGUCCUCAGCUAGAAGUACACAAGGUACUACAGGGAUAAGAGAAGAUCCUGAUGUCUGCCUGAAAGCCCCAUGAAGAAAAAUAAAACACCUUGUACUUUAUUUUCUAUAAUUUAAAUAUAUGCUAAGUCUUAUAUAUUGUAGAUAAUACAGUUCGGUGAGCUACAAAUGCAUUUCUAAAGCCAUUGUAGUCCUGUAAUGGAAGCAUCUAGCAUGUCGUCAAAGCUGAAAUGGACUUUUGUACAUAGUGAGGAGCUUUGAAACGAGGAUUGGGAAAAAGUAAUUCCGUAGGUUAUUUUCAGUUAUUAUAUUUACAAAUGGGAAACAAAAGGAUAAUGAAUACUUUAUAAAGGAUUAAUGUCAAUUCUUGCCAAAUAUAAAUAAAAAUAAUCCUCAGUUUUUGUGAAAAGCUCCAUUUUUAGUGAAAUAUUAUUUUAUAGCUACUAAUUUUAAAAUGUCUUGCUUGAUUGUAUGGUGGGAAGUUGGCUGGUGUCCCUUGUCUUUGCCAAGUUCUCCACUAGCUAUGGUGUCAUAGGCUCUUUUGGGAUUUUUGAAGCUGUAUACUGUGUGCUAAAACAAGCACUAAACAAAGAGUGAAGGAUUUAUGUUUAAUUCUGAAAGCAACCUUCUUGCCUAGUGUUCUGAUAUUGGACAGUAAAAUCCACAGACCAACCUGGAGUUGAAAAUCUUAUAAUUUAAAAUAUGCUCUAAACAUGUUUAUCGUAUUUGAUGCUACAGGAUUUGAAAUUGUAUUACAAAUCCAAUGAAAUGAGUUUUUCUUUUCAUUUACCUCUGCCCCAGUUGUUUCUACUACAUGGAAGACCUCAUUUUGAAGGGAAAUUUCAGCAGCUGCAGCUCAUGAGUAACUGAUUUGUAACAAGCCUCCUUUUAAAGUAACCCUACAAAACCACUGGAAAGUUUAUGGUUGUAUUAUUUUUUAAAAAAAUUCCAAGUGAUUGAAACCUACACGAGAUACAGAAUUUUAUGCGGCAUUUUCUUCUCACAUUUAUAUUUUUGUGAUUUUGUGAUUGAUUAUAUGUCACUUUGCUACAGGGCUCACAGAAUUCAUUCACUCAACAAACAUAAUAGGGCGCUGAGGGCAUAGAAGUAAAAACACCUGGUCCCUGCUCUCAGUUCACUGUCUUGUUGGACGAGAAAACAAUAACGAUAAAAGACAGUGAAAGAAAAUAACGAUAAAAGACAGUGAAAGAAAAUAACAAUAAAAGACAAGGAAAAAAUAACAAUGAAAGUUGAUAAGUACAUGAUAAGCGAGGUUCCCCGUGUGUAGGUAGAUCUGGUCUUUAGAGGCAGAUAGAUAGGUCAGUGCAAAUACUCUGGUCCAUGGGCCAUAUGAAAAGGCUAAGCUUCACUGUAAAAUAAUAACUGGGAAUUCUGGAUUGUGUAUGGGUGUUGGUGAACUUGGUUUUAAUUAGUGAACUGCUGAGAGACAGAGCUAUUCUCCAUGUACUGGCAAGACCUGAUUUCUGAGCAUUUAAUAUGGAUGCCGUGGGAGUACAAAAGUGGAGUGUGGCCUGAGUAAUGCAUUAUGGGUGGUUUACCAUUUCUUGAGGUAAAAGCAUCACAUGAACUUGUAAAGGAAUUUAAAAAUCCUACUUUCAUAAUAAGUUGCAUAGGUUUAAUAAUUUUUAAUUAUAUGGCUUGAGUUUAAAUUGUAAUAGGCGUAACUAAUUUUAACUCUAUAAUGUGUUCAUUCUGGAAUAAUCCUAAACAUAUGAAUUAUGUUUGCAUGUUCACUUCCAAGAGCCUUUUUUUGAAAAAAAGCUUUUUUUGAAUCAUCAAGUCUUUCACAUUUAAAUAAAGUGUUUGAAAGCUUUAUUUAC